UUCAUGGGAACUCUGUAUAACAGUCAUUAUUUAUUUAUUUUAGUACUAAACUUUUAUAUUUUUUUUUAUAAUUACCCCUAUUUCCAAACUUACUUUGAAAUCGAAUGGUCUUACCAGAGAAAGGAUUAAUAAUUGCUUCUUUAUUAAAAACACUAGAUGGAAGAAAUUGCUAUCGACAUAAGACGUAUAAUUAUAUUAAAAAGCUGCCAAACAUUGAAGAGUCGACAUCAAGAAACUUUUGUUUUUCAAGAAGGAUAGGCAUAAAGAGAUGCCCUUUAUAAAUCUUCUUCGUCAAAGUUCACGGAUUUGUAAGCUAUUUGUUUAAAAACUACGAACACGAAAAUCUUCUAUUUUUUUUGAAACCUCUGCAAUUGUUCUAUCGAGUUCAUUGGCAAUCAUCUCCUGAACUGGAUGAGGUAACGAAUAGUACAUCUCGCAGAGAUCACCAUCUAUAACACAUUUGACUGGAGCGUAAUAACUACGAUAAGCAAGAUGAUCCCUUCCAGCCAAAGGAGGACAUUCUUUUCGCAACAAAAAUUCCAGUUGUUGAAAAAAUCGAACAUCUUCCUGGUUAAUAAAAGGGGUAAAUACUCCAACAGUACCCAGAAGACCGGUCCAUAACAAAACUUCUCGAGCUCCUUCAACCAAUUGGACCUUUUGAAGCGAAGUAGGAAUAUCAUUUGUAAAGAAAUGAGCCAUUAGGUCCAAUUUGUGAGGUGUGGAAUUUAAAAAGGGCUUUUCGUGAAUUAAUUUAGAUUCAGAAUUCUCUUCAUCAGCUAGUUUAGAAACAUGUUCGGGGCAGCGUAAAAGCCAAAUAUU